rnacentral:rRNA from 1 species
CUACAGAGGGUGCGAGCGUUAAUCGGAAUUACUGGGCGUAAAGCGCGCGUAGGCGGCUUGGUCAGUCGGAUGUGAAAGCCCCGGGCUCAACCUGGGAAUGGCAUUCGAUACUGCCAGGCUAGAGUAUGGGAGAGGGAAGUGGAAUUUCCGGUGUAGCGGUGAAAUGCGUAGAUAUCGGAAGGAACACCAGUGGCGAAGGCGACUUCCUGGCCCAAUACUGACGCUGAGGUGCGAAAGCGUGGGGAGCGAACAGGAUUAGAAACCCUAGUAGUCC